rnacentral:tRNA from 1 species
UGCGGAGUAGAGCAGCGGUAGCUUGUCAGUCUCAUAAUCUGAAGGUCGAAGGUUCGAGUCCUUUCUCCGCUU